CUCGGCAAAGAAGGACAGGGCAGAGCAUAAAAGGUAUGCCUAUUGAAACAAUGGAAGAAGAUAAGAGAGGCCCCAGGGGGGCACAGAGACUAAGAAAACCCUCAAUAAAUAUUGUGAACAAUACUGGCCACUUUAUAUAUUUGAAGACAAGGAGAAACCAGUACUUGGAACCCUGAGUUAUUCUACCUUGUUCUGGUUACUAUUAUUCUUGUGAAGAGAAAGAAAAUGAAAUGAGGCUGUGUAGCUGAAUAUGCUUUGUUUGUCUGAAGGAUCACCCUGGAUUGAAGCACAAUGUGGUUUAAAUUUGGCCCCAAGGGAUCCUUCUGUGUUGGCUACAAAAAAAUAUUGCAAAAUGAAAGGAAAGGGAGGACUGAGAACAUGUUGUUCUGCAUGUUCCCUAGAAAGAAGAAAGGUGUUUAAAAUAGAAAGUGAAUGAGGAAAAGAUGGAGGGUGUGGUUGCUCCUUUUGAGUCAUGAGAAGUGGGAGGACAGGGAAUGCAGUUGAAAUCCCUGGUAAAUACUGCUGAGAAAACUUUGCCUUUGAGCCUCCCUUCCUCUCUAGAGCUUGAAAAAGGAAAAACUCACAGUACAGAACCAAAGGCAGAAAGGAAGCUGUGGCAUUGUCACCAUUCAGCAUCCCCCGACGCAGUGCUGGAAUUCCGCUAGCUGCCCCCGGCACCACGCCGAGUGUGGGACACAGCUCAGAAGCAGGAUGAUCCCAGACCUCAAGGAUGCUUUCUUCUGUAUACCCUUGGACCCUGGCAGCCUAAACCUGUUUGCCUUUGAAUGGGGAAACCCAGAGACUGGAAGGAGAAGUCAAUUUACCUGGACUGUAGGACCACAAGAAUUCAAGAAUAGUCCAACCAUAUUUGGAAAACAGUUUACUGAGGAUCUUGAAAGUUGGGUAAGCUGAUCCACAGAUGGAAUUGUGCUACAAUAAGUAGAUUAUCUACUUAUAGCCACAGAAACAAAAAAGACUGGAAUGGAGAGGAAGCUUAUGAAAUGACCUGGGACUAAGCGGAUACAAGGAAUCCAGAAAUCAAGCUCAAAUAAUCAAACAAGAAAUCAUUUACCUAGGAUACAAAAUAUCCCAAGCACAGCAGGAACUAAGACAGGAAUGCAGAGGGACCAUGCACCGAACCCCACUCCCUACUAAUGCUGGAGAAAUGAGAACCUUUCUAGGAAUGACUGGAUGCUCUAUUAACUACGGUGUUAACUGUGGACUGCUGGUUAAGCCACUGUAACAGCUGUUAGAAGGCAAUCCCAGAGACCUGAAAUGGACAUCCACAAGUGAGAAAGCCUUUCAAAGCGGAAGGAGGAAUUGAAAAGAGUACCUGCUCAGGGCUUGCCAGAUGUCUUGGAACCGUUGCAGCUUUUCUCUUGUGAGGGGCAAGGGAUGGCAUUAGGUGCAGUGGCUCAAACAAUUGGCCCAUAGAAGAGAGCAGUAGCCUACUUUUCAAAACAACUGGAUGAAGUAAGUAGGGGACAGCCUCACUGUGAGCAGUUGCUGAUCUUGCUUCCAAACGUCCAAGAAGCCUGGGCAUUCAGUCUAGGUCAACAAAUAAUUGUGUUUAUCUCACAUUCAGUAGGAGGAACUCUUGAGCAAAAGGGUGGGCAUUGGCUGUCAACCUCCAUAUUCCUUAAACAUCAGGCAAUUUUGGUGGAACAAUGUGGUAUUACCAAACUAAUCUCUUCUCUAGUUGAUCCAGCAGCAUUCCUGGCCACUCACCAGACAGACAAGGAACCUUUGUAGCAUGACUGUAUCAAAACCAUGACAUGCACUUUAUUCCAGCUGCCCAGAUCUUAAAGAAAGCCCAAUUCCAGGAGCAGAAUCUCAGUACACAGAUGGGAGUGGCUUUGUAAGAGCAGAUCAGUGAAAAUCGGGAUAUACAAUUAGCACUAUGGAAUAGAAGCCCUAGACAAGUCAGCUCAGAAGGCAGAGAUAAUCAUUUUAACCCGUAGCCUCUGACCAGCCUGAGGAAAAAGGAUCAAUAUAUGAACAGAUUCCAAGUAUGCCUUCAGAGGAAUACAUGCCAUGAAGCAGUUUGGAAAGAAAAGGACUAUUGACAACUCAAGGCAAGCAGAUUAAGCAUUCAGAAGAAAUCUUAAAAUUGCUGGAGGCAGUACUAGUACCUCAAGAGGUUGCAAUGAUGCACUGCAAAGGACAUCAGAAAGGAGAAAAAGACCUCAAAAGAGGUAACAGGUUCCAAAAAUAACAGCAGAAAAAAAGCCAUGCUGAGAUUUAGCAUGGCUGAGAUGCACUAAUUCCUGAAGGGAUAGACAGUUAUGCCUGAAAGAGCAUUGUGAAAAUUAAUUACAGACGAACAUAAUUGUAUACACUGGGAAGGGGAUGCCUUACAUAAUUAUUUGAGAGGGACAACAGAAAGAUUCAACCUGUACACUAGUGUAAAGCAGGUAAGCCAAGGGUGUGAAAUAAUGCCUUAGAACCAAUCCACAAACUAGGACUAGAGUUGAGCUUGGCACAGUAGACAAGGGACAAUAUCCUGGACAGUACUGGCAAGUUGACUUUUCUCAAUUGCCAAGGAAAGGGGGC